rnacentral:lncRNA from 1 species
AUCGAACCCAGUGCCACACUUAUGCUAGGCAAGUGCACUACCAUUGAACCACAUCCCUAGCCCCUUACAGUGUCUUUAACCCACAGGGCUACAGUUUAGAUUCUUCCAAUCAGACAUAAUCUUGUAAGAUCUGGAAGUUUGAAGAGAAUCAUAAGAAAUUAUUGACUAGCAGAAAUUAUGAACAGAUUCGUGGAUAUUGUAAGCUUCAGAACCAUGGCUUCAAAUGACAGUUUCCUGCUGUCCUCACCAAAAAUGUCCAUGUAAAAAUGUCAGGUAGCUGCAAUCUUCAAAGUUAGAUUUCCUAUUCCUUUUGUGGUUCUGCAUUUCCUAAGAGCCAAAAGAUGUCUUCUUGAUCUUCCCUAGCCCAAGCCUUUCAAUGAUUGUGUAAUCCACAUAUUUCCUGUAUCCAAUCCCCUCCUGCCUAGCCUACAGGAUUUCUUUAUUCCUGACAAAAUCAGGAAUGUAGUAAAGCCUGAAGAAAGAGAAUACACACACACACACACACACAUAUAUACACACACAUACACACACAUACAUAUAUGACUUAAAUUUGGGUAGAGUUACUUCUAAAUCUCAUCUUUUAGAGAUACAAUCAUUUACUAAGGCCUAACUCAGUAUUUAAGAGAAAUAGAAGGAACAUUUCUAAAAGGAGGAAGUUGUUUUAGGGAAUUUAAAAAAAAGUAUUCUGAUUGAUUGUCAAUUGGCUGGAGGUACCACUUUCUCUUUUAUUCUUUCUUUUUCAGUGUGUAUGAGGGUUUUAUUUUCUUUAAAUUUAUGUUUAACUGUCAGAUAAAAAAUAAAUAAAUUUGUAGAUAUUAGGGGGGGACCAUGUAAUGUUCAAUAUAUGCAUGCACUACAUAAUGUUUAAGUAAAGUUUAUUGUUUAUUUAUGGUAAAAAUUACCAAAUCCUUCCUCCUAGCUUUUUGAAAUGCACACCAUAUUUUGUUACCUAUAAUCACUCUGUUGUUUAAUAAUGCAUCAAAGCUUCUUGCUCCUAUUAACUAUACUGCAGAAAACAUUAAUCAAAAUUUCCCCACCUCUAGAGCCCCUACUUUCCCUGGCCUUUAGUUUCAUUUGCACAAAUUCCCUAUAUAGAAGUUAUAGUAUGCAUAUCUACCAUUUGUGUAAAAUUAAUGUAAAAUGAUAAAGGAGCUACUGACUAAAAUUAUGAUUAAUCAAAACCAAUAUUUAGUUAAGCAGACAUGUAGACCAAUGAUACAGAGACAAACCCACAAAAAUACAUUUAUCCCAUACUAGACAAAGGCACCAAAAACAUAUACUGGAGAAAAUAUAUCCUCUUCAACAAAUGUUGUUGGGAAAACUGGAAAGCUACAUGUAACAAAAUGAAAUUAAACCCUUAUCUUUGAUCCUGCAUGAAACUCAAUUCAAAGUGAAUCAAAGGCUUAGGCACUAGAACAGAAACCCUGCACCUAAUGAAGGGAGAGUAGGCCCAAAUUUUUACCAUGUCAGCUUAGGAUCUGACUUCCUU